rnacentral:snRNA from 1 species
GGGUGAUCUUGCUGCAACAUCUGUCACCCCAGUGAUCACAAGGGUCAAUUAAGCUGAUCUGGCUGUCUAGGUAGGUGUCACCUUUCUCCCACAUGCAUCCCUCCCAAAGCUACACACUCAGUCAAAGAGGAAGACCUUCCCCAAUAGAGGAAGACUGUUCUUUGGUCAAGGAUAUAUAAGUAGCUGCACUCCCCUGCUAGAACCUCCAAACAAGCGCCCAAUUAUUUACGUCCAUUUUUUGUACUACAAUGGCCAUAUAGAUUUUUAUUUUUUAAAGUUUCCGACACACACAGUAUACAGAAUGCU